GUCGAACGCGGCUAUUUUUUUCCUCUGAGAAUUUGAGAGAAGCCAGCGGAAACUGGAUUUUCCAUGUUGGACCACACGUGUCUCAGAAGAAAUAGAGUGAUACAGAGUUCAGUCAAGUUGAUUAAAAGCUGUUCGUUCACCAACUGGACCAAACCGGAUUUUUACCUCACCUUUUUACCAUCACUUCAGAGCGCCAGAUAUAGCUGACUGACAAUGAGAUCAAUGUUGUUCAGAGUGUCAAGUUGGGCAUCUUGUCAAUCAGCGAGGACACCAGACAAGAUUGUGCCUUCCAAGACACUUUGUGAAUAUGGCUGUGAUACUGGAAGGCAGUGUUAAUUUCAUUGACUAAAUAUUUUCGUCAUUAUUUUCGUCACAAAUAUAUUUUUGCGGACGAAAACGAAACGAAAACUAAAAUAG